AAGAGCGUUGUAAAGACAUACCGUGUACAUCUCAUGAUACAAGACAGAGUUUUCUCCAAAGCCGACAUAGAGGAUACAAAAGGGAAACGAUGAUAACCACAAUAACGGCCUAAAUAAUGAGUUAGUUGACUUAAGUUUAAAAAUUUAAUUGUUCGUAAAAUCGUACUCAUAUAGCUGGAUUAUGCUAGACGAACCCAAUAAAUAAAAGCAUGCAGGUAAAAAAAAGGACGCAUUUGAAAUUUGGAGGAACUUUUUGCCAGAGUUGCAUAAGAAAGGAAUGAAUAAAACUGAAAAUAUUUCCAAAAUACUUUCAAAAUUCCGAUGUUGAUAAUUCACUUCAACACAUUCUUGCUCACGAUCAAUCUUUUCCGACGUAUCAUAACAUUUUUUCGACAUUAUAUACAUUAAAAAUCAACAAACAGUUAGCCAACAGAAAUGAUGUUUUUCAUUAACAGAGGAUUUGCUAAAUAGCAACAAUUGCAAAAAAUCGUUAGAU